UUAGGGUUAGGAUUUGGUGAGGAUUUGAUUUAGAAAUAGGAUUUGGUUAGGAUUUGGUUUAUGGUUUAGGAUUAGGAUUAGGAUUUGGUUAGGAUUUGAUUUAAAGUUAGGAUUUGAUUAGUGUUUGAUUUAAGAUUAGGAUUUAGGUUAGGAUUUAGGAUUAGGGUUUGGAUUAGGAUUUAGGAUUUGGUUAGGAUUUGAUUUAGAAUUAAGAUUUGGUUUAAGAUUUAGAAUUUUAUUAAGAUUUGAUUUAGGAUUAGGAUUUGGUUUAGGAUUUAAUGUUUGGUUAGAAUUUGAUUUAGGAUUUAGGACUUGGUUAGGAUUUAGGAUUUGGUUUAGGAUUUAAGAUUUUAUUUAAAAUUAUUUAGGAUUUAAGUUUUAAUUAGUUUUUGGCCUAAAUUUUGAAUGAAGUCCAAUAAGAUUUCAACUAGAAUUAAAUUAAGAUUGAAUUGAGAUGUAUUUGAGUUAUUUUUGUAAUUAUUCUAAUAUUUCUUUAAGAUUUUUUAUUGUUUCUUUAGAAUUCCUUUGAGGUUUUUUUGAAUUUGAAUAAAACUUGUUUAGCAUUGUUAGUGUUCUAUUAAAAUUAGGAUUAUGUUAUUACAAUUUCUAUUCU
rnacentral:lncRNA from 1 species